rnacentral:rRNA from 1 species
CCGAAUGGGGAAACCCAGUGUGUUUCGACACACUAUCAUUAACUGAAUCCAUAGGUUAAUGAGGCGAACCGGGGGAACUGAAACAUCUAAGUACCCCGAGGAAAAGAAAUCAACCGAGAUUCCCCCAGUAGCGGCGAGCGAACGGGGAGCAGCCCAGAGCCUGAAUCAGUGUGUGUGUUAGUGGAAGCGUCUGGAAAGGCGCGCGAUACAGGGUGACAGCCCCGUACACAAAAAUGCACAUGCUGUGAGCUCGAUGAGUAGGGCGGGACACGUGGUAUCCUGUCUGAAUAUGGGGGGACCAUCCUCCAAGGCUAAAUACUCCUGACUGACCGAUAGUGAACCAGUACCGUGAGGGAAAGGCGAAAAGAACCCCGGCGAGGGGAGUGAAAAAGAACCUGAAACCGUGUACGUACAAGCAGUGGGAGCACGCUUCGGCGUGUGACUGCGUACCUUUUGUAUAAUGGGUCAGCGACUUAUAUUCUGUAGCAAGGUUAACCGAAUAGGGGAGCCGAAGGGAAACCGAGUCUUAACUGGGCGUUAAGUUGCAGGGUAUAGACCCGAAACCCGGUGAUCUAGCCAUGGGCAGGUUGAAGGUUGGGUAACACUAACUGGAGGACCGAACCGACUAAUGUUGAAAAAUUAGCGGAUGACUUGUGGCUGGGGGUGAAAGGCCAAUCAAACCGGGAGAUAGCUGGUUCUCCCCGAAAGCUAUUUAGGUAGCGCCUCGUGAAUUCAUCUCCGGGGGUAGAGCACUGUUUCGGCAAGGGGGUCAUCCCGACUUACCAACCCGAUGCAAACUGCGAAUACCGGAGAAUGUUAUCACGGGAGACACACGGCGGGUGCUAACGUCCGUCGUGAAGAGGGAAACAACCCAGACCGCCAGCUAAGGUCCCAAAGUCAUGGUUAAGUGGGAAACGAUGUGGGAAGGCCCAGACAGCCAGGAUGUUGGCUUAGAAGCAGCCAUCAUUUAAAGAAAGCGUAAUAGCUCACUGGUCGAGUCGGCCUGCGCGGAAGAUGUAACGGGGCUAAACCAUG